AGAGUGUAGACAGGAAUGCGUCUAGAGAUGACGGGAUACACACUGAAACAUGGGAAAAGAUCUCAGCUUGGAAAUGAGAGAUAAUAGUGCAGCCUCUUACUGAAAGCAUUAGAUAAGACCAUAAAGUAGCAAGAUAGUAAAAAUGAAGAAGAUGGCAUUUCGGCUAGCUUAGCCUUCUGGAGUGAAUAAUCUUUUCAAUUUUGUAAUACAUUUUUUUCUAUUCAAAAAGCUUGCUUUGAAACAUCAUCCAGACAAGAACCCAGAGAACCUGAACGCCACAGAUAAAUUCAAGGAGCUCAACAAUGCCCACUCCGUCCUGCCAGAUGCUUCCAAGAGGAACAUCUACAACAGCUAUGUCUCCCUCAGGCUCAUGCUAACAGGCUGCUACUUCUGCUGCUGCCUGUGCUGCUACUUGAACUGCUGCUGUGGGAUGUGUAAAAACCAAAGGACCCCGACACCUACAUUUUCCCUGGCAACCUGGGGGAGCAGAUCCGCACAGACAUGGAGACAGAUGCUGACGACAUCCCCAUAAUACAGCAACCAACCAAUACCAGCAAGAAGACCAGGUUGAUUGGUGACGGACGACAGGCCUAUCCCUAACACACCUGAGAGCAGACAUUAGAGGACUGGUGAUGUCAUAGGGAUUCCAGCCCUGGGUUCAAAUACAUGUGUAUUUAAGUAUUUGUUAUUUACAGUGGAUUCAGAAAGUAUUCAGACCCUUUUACUUUUUCCACAUUUUGUUACAGCAUUAUUGUGAAAUGGAUUAAAUAAAUAUUUUUCCUGCUCCAUCUACACACAAUACCCCAUAAUGACAAAGUGAAAAAAACAGGUUUUUAGAAAUGUUUGCAAAUGUAUAUAUUUUUACAAACAGAAACACCAUAUUUACAUAAGUAUUGAGACCCUUUGCUAAUAGACUUGAAAUUGAGCUCAGGUACAUACUAUUUCCAUUGAUCAUCCUUGAGAUGUUUCUACAACUUGAUUGGAGUCCACCUGUGGUAAAUUCAAUUGAUUAGACAUGAUUUGGAAAGGCACCUACCUGUCUAUAUAAGGUCCCACAGUUGACAGUGCAUGUCAGAGCAAAAACCAAGCGAUGAGGACAAGCCUUUUAUUUUUAAUAACUUUAUUUUUUUUAACAGUUUUUGCUUUAGCAUUAUGAGGUAUUGUGUGUAGAUUGAUGAGGGGAAAAAAACAAUUUCAUCCAUUUUAAAAUAAGGCUGUAAUGUAACAAAAUGUGGAAAAAGUCAAGAGGUCUGAAUACUUUCUGAAUGCACUGUAAAAACGUAUUUUCUGUGUGUUUUAGCAUUUUCAAAUAAUGUGCCCUGAAUUAACUACUUAUAUUGGAAGUAUUUUCACGUUUUUUCAAAUAAUUCCCAAAAAUAGCCUAAUAUUUGAAAUUAUUUUCAAAUAGUUAUUUAAAAUACUAUUUUCAAAUACCUGGGUUGAAUGCAUGGGAUGCAGAAGUUCCAAGUGUAUUUCCAAAUAAAUUCCAAUAUUCAAAAACUUGUCUUUUCAACAACAACAAAAAUAUAUCUAAAUACUUCCUUCCUUAAUACCCUAAAUAUUAUUUGAACCCAGGUCUAAGGGGGAUUCAUUCCGAUGUAGAUCCCAGAAGGCCUCCAUUCCACCCCUUGACUACACUUUGUAAAUUAUGAAUGAGUGUUCCUUUGUGUGCAAUGUGUUUUGUGUUUGUUAUUGUUUUGUGUUGUUUGUUAUGCAGUAUAGUAGGCAUAAGUAUGGCUGUGAAAGGAUUGAGAGAUUUAGAAUUGUGUCAUGUGACAAUAGACUUUCCUUUUUGAAAAGUUACUUCAACAUCUUUUUUUGUAAUUACAUUACGCAUCUUACAAACAUAUAGGCGUACAAAUUAUACUUAAAUUUGUUGUUAGGUCUGGUUUCACAAAUCAGGUGAGCAAAAAAAAACUCCUUCGAGCCGGAUUUGAACCAGCGACCUAAGGAUCGCUAUGUAACCUCUACAGUCCUCCGCUCUACCAACUGAGCUAUCGAAGGGAGUACAUGAAACCGUUGACUAGCGGGCUAUCUAUACGUAACAAUAUGUGUGCAUGUAUUAUUAUAUAUAUGGAUAUAUGUGGCUGGUUGGUGUCCGAGUUUACUUUCUGUAAUUAAUUACUUAGCGUCGAAUAAUAUAUGAGUAGACGACAUUUUAGCAGUCACAUAUUUAGAUUGCGAAUUAUAAAAACAAACGAGAUAUGCACAUAGCUAAAGGUAGCUAGCUACAUCUCGCUUCAAACGCAUUCAACACAUUUAACGUUACGAUUUAACGUUACGAGCUAGCGAGCAUGAGCCGUGUCAAAUAUACUGAGGCUGUGUGCAACCAUUAAUAAAAUCUAGGACAGUACUCUGUAUAUUCCUAGACUAAAACUAAACUAGCUGUAACGACGUUGGCGAAAUUUUCUAAUAAGGUUGACAUGGUGGUAAUGAACUGUUUCCUAAAUUAAAGUGUCAUAGAAGCUGUUGUUACUCUGACGACAGACUAAAAAGUCUAACUUCGAGAGGGUGGUGGAAACAUAGCACCUAACCAGCUACUCACGUUCAACGCGUCAUUCUAAAUAGCCUGAUGCAUUUAUAUGAGUCACUGCUGCCAUUGUAUAGGAAGGGGAAUUAGCUCAAAUGGUAGAGCGCUCGCUUAGCAUGCGAGAAGUAGCGGGAUCGAUGCCCGCAUUCUCCAAACCUUUUCCCGACCUUCCCAAUCAGUGUUGUUGUCUAUUUUCCAUAAAUAAACAUAGAAAUUACUUUGUAGCCAGUCAUGUGUUGCUAUGUAUUCAUAUGAAAAAUUCUGAUACAAUGUAUCUGAAUGAUUAACAUUAGAAUGUUUUGAAACAUGAACUGGAUGAACGUUCCUUCCUUGAUCUGCGAGAUACUGUACUGUUUACACUACGACAUACUGUUCAUGAUGCUGAUCAUAUAUUCUGAUACGUUUUAUAUGCGUAGAUAUUAUUUUAAAAUACCAUAAUACAUCAAAUUGGCUCAUUAUACUGCUUUUAUAUUCAAUCAUAGUGUGUAUGCCACUGUUCAUCAGACACAGGUGGAUUCUAAUUUGCAAAUGUAAUAACCACAAGCGGAUUAAACUUA